CCUCUACUCAAGUCGCACGUGCAUUCUUUCAUUUAAAAUUUUCUCCCAAAAUGAACAGUUGCGUUUUGCCGUGUCUUGACAACUCAAAAAGAAUACCAUGUGGUAGCAAUGAUUAUGGACAAUAUAAUGACCUGGAAAGUGAAAUCCCCGGAUGAUGGGGUCGAUUUUGGAUGAAUUCCAUGCCCGACACGUGUCCCCACAAAGUAAGAUCCCCUAAAGGGACGCUAAACCCGAUUGUACCUGUGGAAAAGCCGGUUAAAUGACCUUCUAUUUGCUGUACAAGUACCAAUGGUUAAUUUCUUGAUUACGGGAAACAAGACCUAAAAGACAGUCAAAACCAGCAGUAUCAUGAACUAAAUGAGAGCUCGACUUAGUUAGAUUAAUGAAUGUUUAAUCCAGGAAAAUGAGGAAGCUGGUUUAUAAGAAAUAAUUGCCAGCCUGAGAAGCAAAGUUUUAUAACUACAGGAUAUUUUCCAAGACUGCUGAACCUAACAAUGACAUUUCUUCCACUGCUCCAGACUGCUAAAAAGAAAGCAUAAAUGGGCGCUUGCAGGCAUCUAUAAUGGUUAAUCCUUCAAAAUGAGUUUUUUUUUACAGGAUUUGACUGAUGGAGGACAUAACAAACGUUCCAGAUCCUGUUUCUAUAAAGGAGGUUUAUCUCGAAUAAUCUCUCUUGUCAAGGAAAGUUCUGCAAAGAAAAAAACUGUUAGUGCCAAGUACGUCAGAGAAUGAUUGCUAGCUCGACAAAAAGAUUGCACGGUCAACAUGACACCUAAAGCUUAACCAUUGGGGAAAAUGUAAAAUCUUUAAAGUAAAAGACUUCGAAAUUGGAAAAGACGAAGUAGAAGGCUUUGGGAACUCUUAGAAAAUAAAAGGUAUCUUGGUGAAUGUUUCGGAUGCUAUCUAUCUAGUUGAGGUAUUAUUCCAUGUGGUGGUUUCCAGUCGCAGAAUAAACUGAUUUUGCUGGACUAAACAAGAUGGAAUAAAUACAAGGAAACUCUCUCCAGCUAGGCAUAAGGUCGCACUCAACGAGGACCGAAUACACCUAAAAUAAAAACUGAUGUAACCAUAACGCUGAAUAAAAAUAAACACAGAUUUUAUUUUAAUAUAA